GUGAUUUGAGCAUUUGAAUUUUAGAUAAAUAUAAGUUUGUGAAUUAUUACAGCGUUGGAUUAACAUCAAAAUUACAGAUAUUUAGUGACGUAAUACGGUUUAUGUUUCUACACUAGUUAGUAGUUUUUGUGUAGGGCUGUAAACGGAGGACUUGGCAUUUGGCAGUCGGCACUGGAGAUGAGUGAUGAAUGAUGAUUACUGAUGGGUGGGAGACGGAUACGAAUGAUUUAUGGUGUUCAUGGAUUAGAAAUGACGUCGUGAUAGAUCUUUAAUACUGAGUAGAAAUGGAAUUCCAAUCCGUUGAUAUUAUUUAUACCUUGGGAAAUAGAAGUAAAUGCCGUCAUUGCUGUUAAUCUUCGUCAUCCUCUAUUACUACUCACUCCUUCUCCUUUUCAUCCAUCGACAGUCAUCAAUUUCAUCAUCCCCUGUUCUCUUCCCUUCCUCUUUUCACAGUUCUAAUCUACGUAAACAAUAACUAUAAACAAAUUGCGCGGACCCUUAACUCCCUUCUCCAGGAUCACUGACUCUUCCUUACUUCAAGCUAAACUCUGGAAUGAAUCCUACAAGUUACAACAAUCCUCAUCAUUCAUUGGAUCAUGCUGGGUCUGGUAAUAGAUUUCUAGAAUAUAUCAUUACAAAUCACAACUGUAGGUUUCAAAUAAUUUUGAUGGAGACAUGGAAUACUACUACUAUGGUCCGUUGCGAAGAAUUAUUGACAUUCAUAUGCAGUCAAUUACUUCAUCAAGAUGCCAUGGAGAUGAUUGUACUAGAGUUAUAGAACUAGAUCAAGAUGUGGAGCGCGUCCAUGAAAGCUGCACGCAUUUCUGAAUAUGAUAUAUAAUGAUAAAUAUAUCGAAAUAUUUUAUUAACUUAUCACAAUCAUAGAUUAUGUUGUGCUCACUUCGAACCUUCACAUGUGCUUCCCUCAUUGUGCCUCGGGGAAACAGCUCUGUUCUUUGUAGCAAUGAACCAUCUUCAUAUUACUGGGAGGACUUUGGAUCCUAAAGAAUGGAAGUAAAAACAUUGUUUCAAGACCCUUCUGAAAUACAACAAUAAAUACAAGAAGCCGAUUCAUCUCUUGAGUUGAGGAUUAAAUAGGAUGAGGAGAUCUUCACAUUUUGAGUCAAAUUCAAACUCAGAAAGUCCAUGCCUAGGAUGGACAUAGGACAUCGUUAAUUAUGAAAUUAUGAGGAACUUCCUUCUGAAAGAGCGAAUCGAAAUAGAUUAUAUCAAUUCUUGUUUUUGUGAAUAUAAACGAUAAAAAUAUACUUAACGUCAAGAUUUUAUAUAAAAUAUAAUUAUGUUAAACGAUUUACUAUUAAAUAUAAUUAUAUAACAGGUA
rnacentral:lncRNA from 1 species